rnacentral:rRNA from 1 species
UACGGAGGGUGCGAGCGUUGUCCGGAAUCAUUGGGCGUAAAGGGCGCGUAGGUGGCCCGGUCAGUCUUUGGUGAAAGCGCGGGGCUCAACCCUGCGUCGGCCAGGGAUACUGCCGCGGCUCGAGCACUGUAGAGGCAGGCGGAAUUCCGGGUGUAGCGGUGGAAUGCGUAGAUAUCAAGAGGAACACCCGAGGUGAAGACGGGUUGCUGGGCUGACACUGACGCUGAGGCGCGAAAGCUAGGGUAGCAAACGGG